UACGGAGGGUGCGAACGUUAUCCGGAAUCAUUGGGCGUAAAGCGCGCGUAGGUGGCUUCGUAAGUCCGUUGUGAAAGUCAAAGGCUCAACCUUUGAAAGCCGAUGGAUACUGCGGAGCUAGAGUACGGAAGAGGCGAGUGGAAUUCCUGGUGUAGCGGUGGAAUGCGCAGAUAUCAGGAGGAACACCAAUAGCGAAGGCAGCUCGCUGGGACGUUACUGACACUGAGGCGCGAAAGCGUGGGGAGCGAACAGG
rnacentral:rRNA from 1 species